GGCCAGUUAGCUCAGUGGUUUGAGCGCAGUGCUCACAACAAUGACAACACCGAGGUCGCGGGUUCGUAUUCCCGCUCGGUCCC
rnacentral:tRNA from 1 species